rnacentral:rRNA from 1 species
GGGCCCGCACAAGCGGUGGAGCAUGUGGUUUAAUUCGAUGAUACGCGAGGAACCUUACCAGGGCUUAAAUGUUAGGUGACAGAUCUAGAAAUAGAUUUUUCUUCGGACACUUAACAAGGUGCUGCAUGGUUGUCGUCAGCUCGUGCCGUGAGGUGUCAGGUUAAGUCCUAUAACGAGCGCAACCCCUGUUGUUAGUUGCCAGCGAGUAAUGUCGGGAACUCUAGCAAGACUGCCAAGUGCAAAACUGUGAAGGGAAGGUGGGGAAUGACGUCCAAAUCAUCACGGCCCUUACGUCCUGGGCUACACACGUGCUACAAUGGUAGGUACAGAGAGCAGCCAAUGCGCGAGCAU